UACGGAGGGUGCAAGCGUUGUCCGGAAUCACUGGGCGUAAAGGGCGCGUAGGCGGCUCAUGAAGGCUGUGGUGAAAGUCCGGGGCUCAACCUCGGAUCGGCCGUGGCGACUCGUGGGCUGGAGCACUGUAGAGGCGGGUGGAAUUCCGGGUGUAGCGGUGGAAUGCGUAGAGAUCCGGAGGAACACCAACGGCGUAGGCAGCGCCCUAGACGAGACCUGACGCUCAGGCACGAAAGCGCGGGGAGCGAACAGG
rnacentral:rRNA from 1 species